rnacentral:misc_RNA from 1 species
GGCUUGUAGCUCAGGUGGUUAGAGCGCACCCCUGAUAAGGGUGAGGUCGGUGGUUCAAGUCCACUCAGGCCUACCAAAUUUGCACGGCAAAUUUGAAGAGGUUUUAACUACAUGUUAUGGGGCUAUAGCUCAGCUGGGAGAGCGCCUGCUUUGCACGCAGGAGGUCUGCGGUUCGAUCCCGCAUAGCUCCACCAUCUCUGUAGUGGUUAAAUAAAAAAUACUUCAGAGUGUACCUGCAUCGGUUCACUGCGAAGUUUUGCUCUUUAAAAAUCUGGAUCAAGCUGAAAAUUGAAACACUGAACAAUGAAAGUUGCCCGUGAGUCUCUCAAACGCAACACGAUGAUGG